rnacentral:rRNA from 1 species
UCUCAAGCGUGAGGUAAGGGCAUCUGGUGAAUGCCUUGGCAUGUACAGGCGAUGAAGGACGUGGCACGCUGCGAUAAGCGUGGGGGAGCCGUGAGCAGGCUUUGAUCCCGCGAUUUCCGAAUGGGAUAACCCACC